CCUCUAGUCAAAGUCCGAAUUUUAAAGUUUUCAGAGAAUGGGGAACUAUACAUUCAAGUUAGGAGAUACUUAUGAAGAUAACAGGCAAAGAGCUAUAACCUGUGUUUAUAGUUUUGGAGGAGUUAUUUCUGUAAAAUUUUAUCCACAAAUGAACGCACUACUCGUGUUUGGAGAAGGAUUUGAUGAGACCGAAAUACAGAGGAAGGUAGAUGAGAUUUAUAACCCAAACAAUGAAAAGAGGUGCCCAUGGUGUGAUCAUGUGCUUAAUAAUGAUCAUGUGCUUAAUAAAUCAGUCUUCCAACUAGGGCUACAUAUUAUCUGGGCGGUGACCCAACAUCUAACGCCUGGUAUGAUCAUGUGCUUAAUAAUGAUCAUGUGCUUAAUAAAUCAGUAUUUCAACUAGCGCUAGACAUUAUUUGGGCGGUGACCUAACACCUAACGCCUAAACGUCUACUCUGAGAGUUAGACGAUUUUUAGGCGGUUUAGACGUU